rnacentral:rRNA from 1 species
UACUCUCAGCAACGAAUAUCUUGGCUUUUACAUUGAUGAAGAGCGUAGCAAAAUACGAUACUUGGUGUAAAUUGCAGAAUCCCAUGAACUAUCGAGUUUUCAAAUGCAUGUUACACCCGAGGCCAUUAUACCGAGGUCACGUCUACCUGGGCAUUA